CCCAAAGCAAUUCCUUCACCUAAACCAAAUUCGAACAAACUUGAUAACAGAAAAGAAGGAACAGAUCACUUUAAAACUUCAGCCUCACCCUAUCCAUGAUCAAUGUGCUAGUCAAAACAGUUCAAGAGCUAAAUAUUACAGCCAUUAUGAGAUUGAAAGAAGAAGGAAUGAGAUUCGAACUACAAAUAACAUUAGCUUUUUAUAUUUCUAAAUCCCAAACUUCAGAUUACACUUAAGUGAUAUCCAUAGUGCUGAAAAUACCUGGAAAUAAAGGAAAACAAAAGAUGUGCAGAGUCAGUAGAGAGCAGCAGCAGAAAAGCAAUGGAACAAUGUUGGAAUCAACCAAUUAAGCCUUGAGGAACCAGCUAAAACAGCAAAUAAGCAGUAACCCAAACCAACAGUUCCAACCAGACCUUUGAAUCCCCAAAAUUAAACCAUUUUUUCAACCCAAGUGCAGAAUUCUGAGGUUUUUAGAAAUUCAAACUAAUGUAGAGGAUCAAACAAGCAAACCUGAGCGAGAUUUGAGCAAUUUUCCCCAAAGAAAUGCUAGAAAGUCAAUGUGGUUUCAAGAGUUUUUUUAGCUAUUUCAGUUUUUGCCCAAUUUUUAUCUCCUCCCCUCUCCAAAAUCUUCCUUGAACAACAAGGUAGAUUGCCUUUAUAGGCAAGGAAGUAUGGCAGCACUUAGGAAUUAGUUUUGCACUUAGAACCUUUUGAAAUUUUGAUUUUUGCUUAGAAAUCCUUAGUGUAAAAUUCAGAACUUUCGUUAAGUCCCCACCCCAGCUUCCAAGAAGCUUCCUAAUUCAGUUAUUGAGAGAUUCCCUAAGCAGACUACCCAAAUUACCCUUUUACCUUCUGAAAAUUACUUCAAGAACCAAAACCAAAAUGGGUCAAAGUUGACCCUACGACCUAGUGCAAUUUGGAUGGGCUGCUCUUUUCCAAUUGAAUCAGAGACAACCCAAAUUACGAACAAUACGCUUAGUUAAAAAUUUGCAAACUCUGAAAUGGUCUUAACAGGUCAAACAACCUAGCCUAAAACGACCCAUUAACUAAUUGACUAAACCAACGAAUCUGAAUUAAACUGAUUAACAAACCAAGAACAAGUUAAAAUACUAACCUAAAAUUGUCAUGCUUAGGAAAGCAACUAGGAAAACGAAACAAAUAACAGAGGGGUCGAGAUAAAUAAGAAGAAGCAGAAAAAUAGAAAAUGAAAAAAAUGACAGCUAGAUAAAACCGCAAAGAAAAAGAAAAUACCUACUGAGACUCAAGCAAAUGAGGAAAGGAGUCUGAAUCUUCAACUUCUCUGAUUUUUUGGCCAACUAUGAUAUUAAUCGUGUGUUCUUAAUCAGAGCACACGAAUAACAUCACAAUAAACCCAAAUCUUCAAACAAACUCGACUCAGGAGCUUUUGGGAAUUAGGGUUAAUCCCUUCGAUCUAAAAUUCGAGGGAUUCUGGAGUGAUUCGAGGGAAGUGGAGUUGAUAUUCGGCAUGAGGGGAGGGAAGGGGUCCUAGGGUGUUACUUUGAUAGUGUUUGGAACCGGUGCCUCCGGUGGAUAGUGGUGGGAAAAGAGGAGGCUACUAGGGUUUAUGCUUAAUCUCUGAAGGUGAGAUGAGAUGAGAGAGACAGAUCUGGCGGGGUUAGGGAUUCCGACAAUUUUAUACCAAG
rnacentral:lncRNA from 1 species